AGUGAACGCUGGCGGUAGGCCUAACACAUGCAAGUCGAACGGCAGCACAGUAAGAGCUUGCUCUUACGGGUGGCGAGUGGCGGACGGGUGAGGAAUACAUCGGAAUCUACUUUUUCGUGGGGGAUAACGUAGGGAAACUUACGCUAAUACCGCAUACGACCUACGGGUGAAAGCAAGGGAUCUUCGGACCUUGCGCGAUUGAAUGAGCCGAUGUCGGAUUAGCUAGUUGGCGGGGUAAAGGCCCACCAAGGCGACGAUCCGUAGCUGGUCUGAGAGGAUGAUCAGCCACACUGGAACUGAGACACGGUCCAGACUCCUACGGGAGGCAGCAGUGGGGAAUAUUGGACAAAGGGCGCAAGCCUGAUCCAGCCAUACCGCGUGGGUGAAGAAGGCCUUCGGGUUGUAAAGCCCUUUUGUUGGGAAAGAAAAGCAGCAGGUUAAUACCCCGCUGUUCUGACGGUACCCAAAGAAUAAGCACCGGCUAACUUCGUG
rnacentral:rRNA from 1 species